UAAAAAACAACACGAAGUUUUUCAAUAUACUCUUAACUAUAGGGGGUUUAAAAUUUUAAGUCCUCUUCUAUUAAUUCUCCCCCAAUUAACAAUUUUUUCAAACGAACAAACUAAUCGAAAUCGACCCACAUAAUAUUUUCAAUCAAAUUGUCUGAAUAACAAAGAAAGAAGAAAGCUUUCUGCUAAACAGGUAAGAGAGCAAUUAACUGCGUUUAAUGCAAGAUCUAUAUCUAUAAUGUCACAUUUGGACUUUACAUGUUGGAUUGGUGGGAGUGUUAUCUUUUCAAUAUUUUGGUGAUUGUGCUGAUGUAAUUCAUCUUUUGCAAUAGUUCACGAUAUGUGAUUGAAUUUUCAAAAGUUAUGAUACAUUUGGACUGCAUUCAAAUAUGGCCUCCAAAGCCUUUGGCAGCACGACUGAGACAGUGAUGGGUUCUCUUUUCUUAAUUUGAUCCUGUGGUUCAAGAAGAUAAAGAUCUGUGUCGUGCUUGUCAUGGCACGAAAAUUUUGAAUAUGCUGCAAUGGGUGCCAUUGAUUUGGGUUUAAUUAGGAACAUUUUUUUAUUGUAAAAGCAAUUUUGCAUGUUUUGUAUUGAUUGUAUACCUAGCCAUAAGAAUUUUGUUGUAAUUUACCUACUUCUCCACCUCUUUUUUUUAUUUGUUUAAUUUUUUUUUUUAUAAUACAAUUAUCAUAAGAAUUCUGAAUUUGUUUUGAUUGUUAAAAGCUUUUAGUACAAUCACUUGAUUAGCUUGUUCUUAUACUGUUGAUAGUCUUCCCUCUUUAGAAGGUUAACUCUCAAAGCAUCCUAUGUUGUAAGCUCUAUCUUCAAUGAAGCUUAAGGAGAA